AUUGAACGCUGGCGGCAGGCUUAACACAUGCAAGUCGAACGAGUGGCGGACGGGUGAGUAAUGCUUGGGAAUCUAGCUUAUGGAGGGGGAUAACUACGGGACACUGUAGCUAAUACCGCGUACCAUAGGAUGAGCCCACGUGGGAUUAGGUAGUUGGUGAGGUAAAGGCUCACCAAGCCGCCGAUCCCUAGCUGGUCUGCGCGGAUGACCCGCCACACGCGGACUGAGACACGGCCCAGACUCCUACGGGAGGCAGCAGUGGGGAAUAUUGCGCAAUGGGGGCAACCUGACGCAGCCAUGCCGCUGGAAUGAAGAAGGCCGUCGGGGUGUAAAGUUCUUUCGGUAGAGAGGCGUUAACUACAGAAGAAGCACCGGCUAACUCCGUGCCAGCAGCCGCGGUAAUUC
rnacentral:rRNA from 1 species